rnacentral:rRNA from 1 species
GUUUAGAACGUCGUGAGACAGUUCGGUCCCUAUCUGCCGUGGGCGUUGGAAGAUUGAGAGGGGCUGCUCCUAGUACGAGAGGACCGGAGUGGACGAAUCACUGGUGUUCGGGGUGUCAUGCCAAUGGCAUUGCCCGGUAGCUAAAUUCGGAAGAGAUAACCGCUGAAAGCAUCUAAGCGGGAAACUUGCCUCGAGAUGAGUCUUCCCUGGGGCUUUAAGCCCCCUGAAGGAACGUUAAAGACGAUGACGUUGAUAGGCUGGGUGUGUAAGUGCAGCGAUGCAUUGAGCUAACCAGUACUAAUGAACCGUGAGGCUUAACCUUACAACACC